rnacentral:tRNA from 1 species
GUAGGUAUAAUUUAAAAAAAAUAUUAGAUUGUGAUUCUAAAAAUAAAAGACAACUACUUUUUACCUACC